AAAUGUUUUAUAAAAAAAACACAGCAACAGUGAAAAGAUUACUAGCUUGACGCAUACAUCUUUCGUCCCAUAAAAUACAAUCCUUAAACUCUCCUUGGUUCAUGCCGGCCGGCCGGCCGGCGAGGUUCCCGGUCGUCGCCGUCGGAGCAGAGGCAGGACAAGAGGCCGGCCGGUGGCCAUGGCGAUGUCACGACAGCGACAGUUUGCACAGCUGCGUCGUCGUCGCCAUUGGCGCCAUGUCGAUGUGGACUAUGAUCAUCAAUCAACUCCUCCUCCCCUGACGUAUCACCUGCCGAGUAAUAACAGGUAGUUGAACUAGCUACACUUGGUUGUCGCGUCUCGAUAUUUUCUUCAGAUCAAAUUGGCUGCCCCAUUUCACUAACAAACAUCCACGCCCACAUCAAAACAAGCUUCUGACUGGACCAGCAACCAUCUUUUUCUCUAACAAAAGUGAGGCCCAAAUUCGAUACAGUACCACCAUGUUCUGUACACUCUGCAAUCAGCAAAGCUCCAUCAUUUGCUCUUUAGCUUAUCAGUUACACAUAAUAUUUAUUUUUUCAAAAAACUUGAUUUUAAAGUUGGUUAUGAUAUUUUUUUUAUUGUAGUUUACUUUCUAACAUUGGCUUUUAAAUCUCAUAGCAUAGAUAUAAUAGUUUCACCCAUAAACUAUUUUUUCUUCCUUUGUUCUUUUAUACGGCUUAUGAACUACUUCCUCUAUCCAGAUUCGUUGUACUGGAAUGUGUCAUAUUCAGUUA